UAAAAACAAUUCAGCAGAAACCAAUUUCGUGCAUUUGGCUUCUUCUUUAUAGUCACUUUUAUAUUGCUCCAUUUGAGGUCUUUGUGUUAGGAAUUUGAGAGGUGUGUGUGAAUGAAAAAGGUUCCUAAGGGAGAGAGAGCUUCCUUGUGGUUAAGAGUUGUGCACAGUUUAUUAAUUUUGGGCUGUCAAAAAGGGUGUCGAGAGAAGAGGUGCGGGUGUAUUUUAUAAAGGAAAGUGUUCUUCACCUUCUAGUUGCAGAUUUUGAUCCAUUUUUGGUGCGGUUUUGAAUUGUUUAGCAAGUGUUCAAGCUUCCCUUGAGGUCAUAGCAUGGAUGGUGUGGAGGGUGUUCCUCCUCAGCUGUAGACAGAGUCGGGGCUGGUGUUGUUGUGUUUUAUUCUGUAUAAUAGACUAUGUUUUGUAUUAUAUUUUUUUUUAGAGUAUUUUUGGCAUGUAAUAAAUGUUAUUUCGAGUUUUAAAACUUUAAUGUUGUAAUAUGUGCAUCUUAUCUAUUUAUUUUCAGUCUUGAUUUUGUAAA